GUUUAACAAAGUAAUUUGAUUACUUAGAAGUCAAUCUCUUGCUAGCAUUUUCUAACUGCAGCAAGAUUUCCUAGCAAAUUUUACAGAACCACUACUUAAUCUUUAAGCUUGUGCUUAAGCACUUUGUUAAAUGAAGACUUCAGCAGAGGAAGAUUGUAUCUGUGGGCUCUUCAUUAGAACAACGUGUAGGUCUCCUGAAAAAUUAGAAAAAUGUUGCCAUUGUGAUAUUGAUUUGUUUUUAAUACUACUGAUAUGUGCGGAACCCUGACAAGAAAUGGAACUUCUAUGUGCAAGAAACUGCAUCAGCCAGGAACAGAGAUGGAGGAGAAGAAUGUUUGAAACAUAACCAAGGGAAGUCAGCUAUAACAGUUGGAAAAAAGAAAUGCAUCUUACAAAUAUAUAACUUUUUGUAACUAUAUCAGUACAUCUUGUGUGCUAAACAAAA